rnacentral:rRNA from 1 species
AGUGAACGCUGGCGGUAGGCCUAACACAUGCAAGUCGAACGGCAGCACAGUAAGAGCUUGCUCUUACGGGUGGCGAGUGGCGGACGGGUGAGGAAUACAUCGGAAUCUACUUUUUCGUGGGGGAUAACGUAGGGAAACUUACGCUAAUACCGCAUACGACCUACGGGUGAAAGCAGGGGAUCUUCGGACCUUGCGCGAUUGAAUGAGCCGAUGUCGGAUUAGCUAGUUGGCGGGGUAAAGGCCCACCAAGGCGACGAUCCGUAGCUGGUCUGAGAGGAUGAACAGCCCCACUGGGACUGAGACACGGUCCAGACUCCUACGGGAGGCAGAAGUGGGGAAUAUUGGACAAUGGGCGCAAGCCUGAUCCAGCCAUACCGCGUGGGUGAAGAAGGCCUUCGGGUUGUAAAGCCCUUUUGUUGGGAAAGAAAAGCAGCAGGUUAAUACCCCGCUGUUCUGACGGUACCCAAAGAAUAAGCACCGGCUAACUUCGUG